rnacentral:rRNA from 1 species
GUGAGGAAUAUUGCGCAAUGGAGGCAACUCUGACGCAGCCAUGCCGCGUGCAGGAAGAAGGCGCUACGCGUUGUAAACUGCUUUUAACCGGGAAGAAACCCCAGGACGUGUCCUGGGUUGACGGUACCGGAGGAAUAAGCACCGGCUAACUUCGUGCCAGCAGCCGCGGUAAUACGAAGGGUGCAAGCGUUAUCCGGAUGCAUUGGGUUUAAAGGGUGCGUAGGCGGAGCGUUAAGUUAGUGGUGAAAUCCUGCAGCUUAACUGUAGACUUGCCAUUGAUACUGGCGCUCUUGAGUGCGCUUGAAGUGGGCGGAAUGUGCCGUGUAGCGGUGAAAUGCUUAGAUAUGGCACAGAACACCAAUUGCGAAGGCAGCUCACUAAGGCGAUACUGACGCUGAGGCACGAAAGCGUGGGGAUCGAACAGGAUUAGAAACCCUGGUAGUCC